GGAAGUAAUUGCCAACUGUGAACUUAAGGUUCACGGUUAUUGAUGAUUUCUUCACUAUGAAAUCCUUUUGUGGGCUGACGCAGGUAGAAAAAUAUUCUCCUGCGGCUUUUGGUAGUGCAGCUGAUUUCAUGAGAUAAGUAUUGACCAAGAAUAUAAAAUAAAAUACAAAUAUCUUUUAGUUCAAGUAAAAAAAUUAACACUGUAGACCAAUACUUAGUCCUACGAAGAAAAAGGGAAAAAAACACUUAUUGUCGUAGUACAAGAGAUAGGAGACUGAAGGCUGACCCGUUAUGGGGCAUUGUCACCCAAACAAUCUCUUUCUCAGUCUUCAUCUGUGAUACAAAGACUAAUUGGUCCCUUAAAAAGGAAAAUAAAACUGUUUCAGACACUGGACUGUCUUUAUGCGCUGACAGGGUGUUGGACUUUGUACAAGAGAUAAGAGACUUAAAGCUGGCCCCUUAAGGGGUUGGUGUCACCCAAACAAUCUCUUCCUUAGUCUUGAUUUGUGAUGCUAAUACUUGUUCCCCGAAAAAGAGAAUAAAACUGUUUCGGACACUGGACUGUCUUUAUGCGCUGAUUGGGUGUUGGACUUUGUACAAGAGAUGGGAGACUUAAAGCUGGCCCUUUAAGGGGUAGGUGUCUCUCAAACAAUCUCUUCCUAAAUCCUGAUCUGUGAUGCAAAGACCUGGUCCCCAAAAAAGAGAAUACAACUGUUUCGGACUCUGACUGUCUUUAUGCGCUGAUCGGGUGUUGGACUUUGUACAAGAGAUGGGAGACUUAAAGCUGGCCCCUUAAGGGGUUGGUGUCACCCAAAAUAUCUCUUCCUUAGUCUUGAUCUGUGAUGCUAAGACUUGGUCCCCAAAAAAGAGAAUAAAACUGUUUCGGACACUGGACUGUCUUUAUGCGCUGAUGGAGUGUUGGACUUUGUACAAGAGAUGGGUGAUUAAGGGUUGACCCACUAAGGAGUCGGUAUUGCUCAAAAAAAAAAUCAAAGAAAAGAUUAAAAGGCAACUCAUUUUUGUUAAUAUUUCAUUCAUUUAAACUUAAA
rnacentral:misc_RNA from 1 species